AACUUUCAACAAUGGAUCUCUUGGCUCUCGCAUCGAUGAAGAACGCAGCAAAAUGCGAUAAGUAAUAUGAAUUGCAGAAUUCCGUGAAUCAUCAAAUUUUUGAACGCAAAUUGCACUUCUUGGUAUUCCAAGGAGUACACAUGCUUGAGGGUCAGU
rnacentral:rRNA from 1 species